CGACACUGCUCUCGUUUUUAGAAAUACGCUCUUUGAAAUCUAACAGCAAAGAGAGAGAAAACUCGUUUAUUCAUCAGCGACUUGUUGUGAAGAGAGUCGACAAAAAAACCAGUAAGGACAAUGCUUUUUUCGACAAUGACUUUUUUCCAGAAAUUAUUCCAUUGCGGACGUCCGAACCGAAGCAAGUGAUUCGAUUUUUCUUUUAUUUUGAACAUUCAUCUGGGACAGUAACCGUAUCCAAUCGUGCGUGAGUAAGAAGAGCAAACUCGUCAUGGUCGCAAUGCGUUUUUCAAAAGUGCCAUCCAUGUCAGCAUCCGCUCGGACACAAUUGUGUGCGUUUUAGGAUUUUGUCGGGGUUCACGACGAUCUGGAUUCGCUGUCAUGUGAAAUAAGCCUCCAGUCUAAUAGGCGUGGAAGUUUCGCUCUACAUAAAUGAUUUUCCAGGCGCAAAAGGCGGGCAAACAUCGUGGAUCGGAACUUACCAAGGUGCUUUUUAUCUGCGAAACUUAUUUCAUAUGAGCAAACAAUCCGAAGAAGAUCUGUAAUGUAAGGUAACCGAGUACAAGCUUUUAUAACAAUUAUAUCCAACAACAACUGGAAUUCUGCAACGUCCGUUAGUACCGUCAAAAGCAGUGGAAAAUUGGUCCGAAAAUGCCAGCCAAUUGUGCGAAAUAUUCAUUAAACGAGUGAUUUCCAAGAAUCACAUUUCCCCGACAAUGAAGAGACCUUCAAGAAGCAGUCUUGAGUCGUUCGGAUUCAAUGGGGAUCUUGUGGAUUGUGGCAGUUAGUCGACAAGAACCCCAUUGGCCUGUAAGGGGAUGUUCAGCAGAACGGGUAUCGGGAUCAAGUGCUAGGCGCAAAGCAACUUGCUGACCGUCUGCAGGCAGGAACUGACCUUCCACCAAGUCCUCAGUAAGCUGAAUUCGGCACCAAGCUGCUGGGCCAAAGGAAUACCCGUCAAUAGAUCAAUGGGGAUCUUGUGGAUUUUGGAAUUGAUUUGGUCUCGAUGUAGAGAUCAAUUUAAUUUUCCGAAUCGACUAGGAACCCAGGGUUAUCUAAUGGCGUGACUACGGCGUCGGGAACUUCAACGAAGAUCAAUCAGCAGGACUUUCGAGAUCACAAUGUGAAGCGAACCGGCGAAGAACGAAGACCAGGCGGGUGAAUAAGAAGCAGCCAGAAGAUGCAACAGCACGCAGGCACCAGGUGGGAAUGGGCGCAAAAUUCCGAAGACCUCGACAACACAUGGGGAAGUACCAGAACGGGACUAGUGGAACAACCGGAUGGAUGGAAGAUAUUCAGUCAGACGGAUGAAGAAAGAAAAAACAAUGCUUUAUGGAAACGGGAUGGUUCUGUGGACACGCUCGGGUCUGGAGACUCGAAGACAUGGUUUGGGCGACGGCUACCAGAUGAAUGUGCAGCUUGAAUGAAGACUACCGGAUGGAUCAGACGGAAAACAGCAUCGACGAGAAGAAUUCCUUUGAAGAAUACCGCAAGGCAGGUGAACGGGCUCCAGGAAGCUGCAAUGGGACAUAUUUUGGGCGCAGAUUUGACCUCGCCGGACUAUCCACUCUUCAAGUCUCCAAAACUCCAAGGGGAAGAAACUUGAGCCAGCCAGCCAGCCAGCCAGCCAGCCAGAAGAAAAUGGGACUGAACAACUUGGCCGCUCUUCAAAAAGCCCUUUUUGGCAAACCAAAGCAGGCGCUAACUUGAUGCCGAUGGAAAUACGAGGAUGACCACAAUUAGAAGAAUGGAAGAUUAAGAACUUGGGGAAAACGCGCAGCUUGGUCAGGAGGGCGAGACUAAACUCGUAUCGCCUGCAUGGUAAAAUAAAGCAAUCCCAGACGUCUGGUUGGAGUGCCAUUUCAUAGUGCUUGAGGAUUCGAUCAAAGCAGUGCAAGACGGGCGUUCAUCGCAAUGUGGAAUGCGUACUUCCUGAUACUGACUGGGAUUAUUUAUUAGAUUGUGCAAGAUACAAGUACGGAACUGUCACCUCUUUCAACGGGAACCCACAGCAGAUCGCAUCAAUCAGCAAACCGUUCUCGUCCAGCUAUAUUUUACAUUGUCCAAGAAGACAUCGAUGGGUUUUUGGAUGUUUUAUAUUACUAUUCAAUCAAUGGUUGGAAUUAAAUAUUGUUGCGUUUAAAUUUGUGUUUAUGAAUAUAUCUAUCACUUGACA